UACGUAGGGUGCGAGCGUUAAUCGGAAUUACUGGGCGUAAAGCGUGCGCAGGCGGUUUUGUAAGACAGGCGUGAAAUCCCCGGGCUCAACCUGGGAACUGCAUUUGUGACUGCAUCGCUGGAGUACGGCAGAGGGGGAUGGAAUUCCGCGUGUAGCAGUGAAAUGCGCAGAUAUCGGGAGGAACACCAAUGGCGAAGGCAGCUUGCUGGGACGGUACUGACGCUGAGACGCGAAAGCGUGGGGAGCAAACAGG
rnacentral:rRNA from 1 species